rnacentral:snRNA from 1 species
AGCUUUGCGCAGUGGCAGUAUCAUAGCCAAUGAGGUUUAUCUGAGGCGCGAUUACUGCUAAUUGAAAACUUUUCACAAAAUGU